rnacentral:rRNA from 1 species
ACGGAAGGCAGCAGUGGGGAAUAUUGGGCAAUGGGCGAAAGCCUGACCCAGCAACGCCGCGUGAAGGAAGAAGGUCUUCGGAUUGUAAACUUCUUUUAUGAGGGACGAAGGACGUGACGGUACCUCAUGAAUAAGCUACGGCUAACUACGUGCCAGCAGCCGCGGUAAUACGUAGGUUGCAAGCGUUGUCCGGAUUUACUGGGUGUAAAGGGCGUGUAGGCGGAGCUGCAAGUCAGAUGUGAAAUCCCGGGGCUCAACCCCGGAACUGCAUUUGAAACUGUAGCCCUUGAGUAUCGGAGAGGCAAGCGGAAUUCCUAGUGUAGCGGUGAAAUGCGUAGAUAUUAGGAGGAACACCAGUGGCGAAGGCGGCUUGCUGGACGACAACUGACGCUGAGGCGCGAAAGCGUGGGGAGCAAACAGGAUUAGAUACCCUGGUA